AAAAAGUUUCACUAACAAAGUUGUGAGUAAAGCGCGCACUGCUGUCUCCAUGCUGGAGUUUGUCGAAGAGAGGGGUCUAAUAGAUCGAACGUUCGAGUCUAGACUACCGCAGUCGACAUGCUCGCUCGGCUCUAGGGAGUACCACGAGAGUCAACUCCCAAUGGACUUCGAUAAGGCCACAUUACACGAAAAACAGAAAAAUGGUACAAAUGAUUUAUAAUAGGAAACUUUUACCAGGGCCACAUGAAGUAUAGCAAAAGGACGCAGACCCCAGACUUUCGUCAUGGCAAGAGCAACGCAAAAGUACAGAACAUGUGCAGGAAAAUGCGGCAAUGGGACCAACUGCAUCCCAAGUGUAUGCAGUGCCCGCGCCACCUGCACGCGAGCAUGGAUGCGCACGCGCACGCGCACCGGCACAAGAGGGCCAGCUGAUGCGAUUACUAUACACAGCACGUGUUUAUAUAAUUUAGAUUUUACAUUUAAUUUAGAUAAUGCUUUUAAUUUAGAACUAGUAUUAAUUUUGAUAUUAUUAAUAUUUUUAAUUAUAUUUGUAAUUGUA